rnacentral:rRNA from 1 species
UACGAAGGGGGCUAGCGUUGCUCGGAAUUACUGGGCGUAAAGGGCGCGUAGGCGGACAGUUUAGUCAGAGGUGAAAGCCCAGGGCUCAACCUUGGAAUUGCCUUUGAUACUGGCGGGCUUGAAUCCGGGAGAGGGAUGUGGAAUUCCAGGUGUAGCGGUGAAAUGCGUAGAUAUCUGGAGGAACACCGGUGGCGAAGGCGGCAUCCUGGACCGGUAUUGACGCUGAGGCGCGAAAGCUAGGGGAGCAAACGGG